rnacentral:sRNA from 1 species
CACAUACUCAGUUCUGCAUGGAAUUGGAGGUUUGUAACUAGUUAUCAAUCAUAUCAAUCAAUCAAUCAGCCACUUAUUUCUCAACUUCCAGAUAUUAUUCAUUUCUCUUAUUGUAGCUAUCUGAACAAAAAAAGAAAAGUUCAACCAAAAAAAAUUUAAAAAAAAAUUGAAGAAAUAAUCAAUAAUCAACAAUAAUCAAUUAAUAAAUAAAUCAUCAGAAUACAAAAAAACCAUGAGUGAAAUAUAAAUAACAGAUAAAAAACAAAAUGCCAUCAAAGCAGUAGUAGUAAUAGCAGUAGUAGUAGUAGUAGCAGCAGCAGCAGUAGUAAGUAGUAGUACACACUGUCUCUCCAAACACACAUACACAACAAUUGGAGACGGGGUUGCGCAGCCGUUUAAGAGAUAGACAGAGAAGAAAAAGAAAGGAAGAAAAGCAAGAAAAAAAAAAAUUACAUAGCAGCAGACCCCUUUCUCCUCGGGUUGAUUUUCCUCAUUUUCCCCAUCCCGUCCCCUCAUCUUUAUACGAAGGAAAUAUAAAAUAAACAAU